UUUUUUUUUUGUAACUGUUAGUAUUUUUUUAAUCAUUGUACUUUAUUUUGUAAAAAGAAGAAAAUGCGUAAUUCUUUUAUAUCUUAAUUUUGUCAGUAUCUACUUAAAUGUACGGUUUUAAAAUGUAUGUUAUUGAAUGUGUAUUGAACAUUGUAAUUAACAUGUUUUUUUUGUUUUCUGUGUGUGUUUGUCCCAACCUGUCCUGUCCUUUCCUGUCCAUACCUUGAUAUUUUCAUUCAAACCUUUAUCUUGCUUACUAAUUUAAACUCAUGACUCUGUUCUUUUCCAUUCUUUCUCUUCCAACUGACAACUGGCCACGCUCAUGCUACUGCACUGCUUUGCUACUAACCUUUUAUGCACCUAAGCUAUGCUUGCCAACGCAUCUUUGAAAAGCGGUCAGAAAAUUUACCCAAAUACUGAUCUUUGAUCACCUCAAAAUCAAAAACACUGAUAUUGCAAAGAGAAAUCUUUGACUGUGAAACAUAAUCUGAACACACAGUAGUGAAACAACACCAUGCCAAGAAAAGGAAAGAGGAGUGAAUCUCAAAAACAGCGCAGAAAGCUUGAAGCUGCAUCAGAUGUUAGCAGUACCAACUCUGUGUCAGGUAUGAAUGAUGCACAACCGUAUGUUGUGUCUGUUAGAGCAUCACAUUGUCAAAGUGAUCCUAGGUACAACCUUUACUCGAGAGGUCGCCAGUGUACUUGCAAUUCUUUAAUGUUUCUAGCAGUCCAUCAAGAAUGUAAUGAGCUAAGCAGUAGUGAUUUAGAUGACAUUUUACAGAAAGGUGAUGCAGUUUACACUAGAGUUAAACAAACACUGCAGGGCAAAGGACAAUUUGUGCAUAACUUUUUAAACUUUGAUGAGCUACCGAGCACAGUGGAGAUAAACUCAGAGUUGUAUACCAUCAUAAAACAUCCUAGGAGGUUUGGAUUUCUAAGAGAUACACCUGCACUAGGUGAUUAUGAAAAUCUUGCAAACACACUGCAAUGUCUCAGAAGUGAUGUGAGCGAUGCUUUGCUGUUAAGUGGACAUUCAUGUAUUGCUGUGUUCAGAGAUCGCUCAGGGAGGUUUGGUUAUUUUGAUUCACACUGCAGAACAAUUGACGGCAUGAUUACUGAUGAAGACACAGGUACGGCUUUAAUGCUGACGUUUUUCUCUUUAGAAGAUUUGAUAGAGAGAUUGCUAUUAGUGUUGCAAGCGGAUUUGGACUUAGGAGACCAAGAUCAGUUUGAUCUGUUGCCUGUAUCAUUUGUAAAUACAUUAAUGCAAAGUUGUGUAGAUACUCAGCAUUGUGUGACCAGCCCUGAGCUUGAAAGGAAUACACAGCCAUCUGUCUCUCCUGAGAACACAGGUCUAAACAAGAAUCAACGGUUGCCUGACAUUUCACAACUUCAAGAUUCAGUUCAACAGCUACAUGAGGAAAUGUUCAGCCAAGUUUCAUCAACUAAGACAAACUUAAAUGAGCAGUCAAAGAAACUGAACAAGAUUCGAAAGAGAAAGGCUUAUAAUAUAAAAUGGCGCAAAGACCUAGCACACAAGAAACACGCAUACGAGAAAAAACAGACUUUACAUGAAGUCUAUGACUAUAAAAAAAGUAACAAGUACAGGCAAAGACAUAAACAAGCUAUGAAGAAGACCUAUUGGAAUAAUAUGAUUUACAGGGAAAAACACAAACAAGCAAUGCAACACAAAUAUAGAAAUAUUGAUGAAUACAGAGAGCGAGAAAAGGCGAGGUUUACCAGCAAUUACAGGAAUAUUGCUAAAUUUAGAAAAAGUAAAAAAAACUAUAUGAUUCAAAAUUAUAGGAAUAAACAAUUCAGAGAGAGGCAAAAGAGCUACAUAAAUGAACAGUACAGGAAUGACGAGCAAUUCAGAGAGAGGAAAAAGAGCUACAUAAAUGAACAGUACAGGAAUGACGAGCAAUUCAGAGAGAGGAAAAAGAGUUACAUAAAUGAACAGUACAGGAAUGACGAGCCAUUCAGAGAGAGGAAAAAGAAAUAUAUAAAUCAAAAGUACAGGACCAAUGCUAAAUUUAAUGAACAGCACAGGAGACAUAUUGUUGAAAGAUAUUUAAAAGACCCCAUUUUUAAGCAAAGGAAAAAAGACCAUUAUACAAAUCAGUGCAGAAAUGAUUCUGAGUUCUAUGAGAAAAGGAAAUUAAAUUGGAAUCACCGCUAUCACUAUGAUGUACAGUUUAGGACCCGCCAAAAAAUGUAUUACUUAUUUAAAGUACAAAAGAAAAGAUCCGCUCUUAACGAAAUGAGCAAGAUUCAAUGUGCACAACGCAUUCAGGGGA
ensembl:lncRNA